UAGAUGCACUAUUGUAAAGUGGCUGUUCCACUGGAUGUCACAAGGUGAAUGCACCAAUUUGUAAGUCGCUCUGGAUAAGAGCGUCUGCUAAAUGACUUAAAUGUAAUGUAAAUGUAUAGGGACAUUUUAAGUUAUUUCUGUUGUAGUUUACAUCAUAGGUAAUAGGCUGGUCCUCCAUAUUACUUCACACCAUCAUAGGUAAUAGGCUGGUCCUCCAUAUUACUUCACACCAUAAUAGGUAAUAGGCUGGUCCUCCAUAUUACUUCACACCUGACAUUAUCAUUCUUCUGAAUUCUGAUUGGUUUUAUGUAACAACUCCAAAAAUAGAACAGUGAGGUGUAACUUUGCAAUGGGACUUAAAACAUUUUUUGGGGAAAAUAUUUUGAUCUUUUAAACUUUACCGUAACUUAACCAUUUUAUUUCUCUCCGGUGCCCACUCACUUUACAUUUUUAGAUAAUAAAGCAUUUGACCUUUCCAUUGUGUUAACAAUGGAGGAUUGGUUGAUUUCCAGUUUUUAAGUAUAGUAUUUAAGAUGAUUGACGAGAAAAGUAUUGUCCAACCAUCGGGUAACUCGCUUCAUGCACAUCAAAGGUGAGGAUGAAUUUCAGAUGUUCACUGCUUUUAUUGAUGAAAGAGUGGAAUUGAUGAAGUUCCUCUGCUGUCCCCUGGAAUAGAAGGAACAUGUAAAAAUGAAGUUUUUUUUAGAGCCUGACAAGCCGCUAGAAUGGAUUGUUAGGGCUGACAAUCACAUUCUUCCCAAACAACCCAACAUUCCGAUUUGCAAAAUUAGAUGCUAUUUUUUAAACUACAAUGACCAUAAUGAUCUGCGAACCUACUUGUCUGUUUCUUUUACACCCGCUAAGAAGAAUUGUCGAUGGUCAUUGCUAUCUGGGAUCCUUUGGACAUCGGUACCCUAAUCCCUAACCUUAACCCCUACCUUAACCAUUUUAAAUGUCAACUUCAAUGGGCUAGGGAAGUCCCAAGGAUGUAUCUCUACCUGAAAAUACAUGAUCUAAGUGAUUGAUUGUUGGUAUUCAGCAGUCAUAAACACUUAUUUACUUUAAUGAACGACUAAAAUAGUGAUUUUGUCAGACAGCAGCUCUACACUUUAUUGACUAACUGAUCCAUUCAUCCUUCCAUCCCUCCUCAGCCUUCCUCUCCUCUGAAGACCCAGUGAGGGUGGAGCUGUCAGAGAGCUGUCGAGGGACUGGUUAUGAAGAACACUUUUACAGCCAGAGAGGUCACACAUGGUUUAGAUGUCAAUAAAUGGAACAGCAUGGCCACAGAACAUGACAUAGGCAGAGCUGUGGGAGACCACCUCAAGCCCCUGGUAGAGCCGGGAGUGGUGUUUACCACUCCACCACACCUUCAGCAGGCUGGGAAAGUGGGAUUGAUCUGUUUGAUCCAUUUGUUUGUUUCAAUUUUCAAUCGUUGAAUCUUUUGACGUAUUGUUGAUUUCAACAUUAUUCAUUUUCAACAAAUGCACUGGGUUGGUUGAAAAGUGAUACUAAACUUACAUACCAUGCACUAUAUUGACAUAGUGGAAGAUAUACUGAAUUGAUACUGUUUUUCAUACUAAGAUGGACCAUGCACUAUAUUGACAAGGUAGAAGAUAGCAUGAAAAACAAUGUAAAUUCAGUCUAAGAUGGACCAAGAUAUGCCUUUGCACAUAUUUGUUCAUUGGUUUAGCAAGAGUCUGUUGAUUGGUUGGUCACUGGGUUAAUAUGUUUUGCAAUAUGAUCAGAUCAAGCUUUAUUUAUAUAGUACAUUUCAGACAUGGAUGCAACACAAUGGCUUCACAGGAAAAAAACUAACUGAAAUAUUUAGUACACAACAAACAGAAACUUAACUGAAAGACUGAGCAUUUUAAGGAAAUGUCAUUGAUUAAAAUAUUAACAAUUGGAUCCAAUACAAAUUAUUAACUUGUUUUACUCCAUUGUUUAUUGUUACGUUCUCCAUCAAGAAAAUCAAAAAACUAAAGUCAAACUAAAUGUGACAUGAAUUGUAAAAAUAUCAAAAGCAAAUGGAAUGGAAUAAUAAAACGUAUCUUUGUCGGGCUGAAUGUUUGAAAUAUGAGGUGAUUUUAGUCAUGCUUCUUCAGUAUUGGACAUUUAGCACUUGAAUGUUGUCAAUAAAUACUGGAGUGAUGUAGGCUUGUUAAUAAAAUUGAUUAUAUACCAAUUCA